rnacentral:piRNA from 1 species
UCCAGGCGCUAUGCUGUAUGACUGACUACC